UACGAAGGUGGCUAGCGUUGCUCGGAAUCACUGGGCGUAAAGCGCACGUAGGCGGAUUGCUAAGUCAGGGGUGAAAUCCUGGAGCUCAACUCCAGAACUGCCUUUGAUACUGGCGAUCUCGAGUCCGGGAGAGGUGAGUGGAACUGCGAGUGUAGAGGUGAAAUUCGUAGAUAUUCGCAAGAACACCAGUGGCGAAGGCGGCUCACUGGCCCGGUACUGACGCUGAGGUGCGAAAGCGUGGGGAGCAAACAGG
rnacentral:rRNA from 1 species